UACGUAGGUCCCGAGCGUUGUCCGGAUUUAUUGGACGUAAAGCGAGCGCAGGUGGUUUAUUAAGUCUGGUGUAAAAGGCAGUGGCUCAACCACUGUAUGCAUUGGAAACUGGUAGACUUGAGUGCAGGAGAGGAGAGUGGAAUUCCAUGUGUAGCGGUGAAAUGCGUAGAUAUAUGGAGGAACACCGGUGGCGAAAGCGGCUCUCUGGCCUGUAACUGACACUGAGGCUCGAAAGCGUGGGGAGCAAACAGG
rnacentral:rRNA from 1 species